AUUGAACGAUUGCGGCAGGCCUAACACAUUCAAGUCUAGCGAGCGGCGGACGGGUGAGUAAUGUCUGGGAAACUGCCUGAUGGAGGGGGAUAACUACUGGAAACGGUAGCUAAUACCGCAUACCAUCAUAUGUGCGCAGAUGGGAUUAGCUAGUAGGUGGGGUAACGGCUCACCUAGGCGACGCUCCCUAGCUGGUCUGAGAGGAUGACCAGCCACACGAGAACUGAGACGCGGUCCAGACUCCUACGUGAGGCGGCAGUGGGGAAUAUUGCACAAUUGGCGCAAGCCUGAUGCAGCCAGGCCGCGUUUAUGAAGGAGGCCUUCGGGUUGGAAAGUACUUUCACCGGGGGGGCGUUACCCGCAGAAGAAGCACCGGCUAACUCCGUGCCAGCAGCCGCGGUAAUUC
rnacentral:rRNA from 1 species